GGCAUAGUACUACUCCCGUGACAUUGCGAAGCGCUGCGAGUACUACUACUACAGCGGCGGCUUUCGGGCGCAUUCUGACGGGUGUUGUGAGGAAAAGAAAAAGAGACCUCAAAAGAUUUAAUUAAACAAGAGAAAAGAAGGAAGAAAAAAGGUGAGAAAGACA
ensembl:lncRNA